CCCCUCUCGUGAUUGCACCUGGAGAGUUUCUAAUACUCUACCAGUCUCAACUACGGAAGGGAGAGUCAAGCAGAAGAGUACCCGUUCCAAUCCUAGCUUGGAUGGUGGCUAGCGAGUGGAAGGCAAUCUGCUACAAGU